rnacentral:lncRNA from 1 species
AAAUUUGGAAUUUUUUAGGCAGAAUUUCUGACAAAUUCUGCAUGGGCUAUAAUUUCAAUCAACACAGAAGUAAUUAAUAAUUGGCAAAAUGGGAGCUUCCAGUUCAACAAGUUAUGAAUAUAAUCGGAGGGCAGCCAUUAUUGAUCGCUUCAUGUGGGAAAACACUGAAAGAAAAUCAUUGCACGGUUUUGGCUGCAAGAAGAUUCCAGUUUACGAUAUGGCCAAGAGAUUCUGGGAAUCUAGCACUGUCGUGCACACAAAAUUUCCCGCCUGUGUCAUGGUCCUGGAAGUCAUAAGCAGCAAGAGUGACAUCAUGGUGCUACAC